UACGUAGGGUCCGAGCGUUGUCCGGAGUUACUGGGCGUAAAGCGCGCGCAGGCGGCUCGGCAAGCAUGGCGUGAAAGCCCCCGGCUCAACUGGGGAGGGUCAUUCGAUACUGAUCGACUCGAAGGCAGGAGAGGGUAGUGGAAUUCCCGGUGUAGUGGUGAAAUGCGUAGAUAUCGGGAGGAACACCUGCGGUGUAGACGGCUUCUGGACCACGACUGACACUGAAACUCGAAAGUGUGGGGAGCAAACAGG
rnacentral:rRNA from 1 species